GCAACCUCCUCCCACCCUCCGAGGCCACGGCUGGUCCCGGCUAGGUGUGGGGGGACGAGCUGGGUUGGAAGUCACCCCCCAACCUCGCAUCGCCCCCUGCUCUCAUCCCGCAUCCCAGCGCAGCGCAGAGAGGAGCCCGGAGCAGCGGCGAGGUGGGAUGCGACUCGCCCUCAGCGGGCACCGUGCCUCCAGCUCCCGGGAGCGGGGCCAGCGGCGCGGGCGAGCGGCAGGGCCGGCGAGCCGGGCGCCGCGGCGAGGAUGAAAACAUGGGGCUCAAGUUGUCCUGCCUGAAAGGCCUGAAGACGUGCGUGAGCGGCGGGAGCGGCGAGCGGCAGGCGGCGGCGGGCGGCGAGAAGCACCUGCGGGUCCCCGCCAUCAUCGUCACGCCGCCCACCCCCACGGGCACCAUGCUGGCGCGGGAGCCGCGCCGAGCCCGCGCCGAGCCGCUGUGCGGCGGGUGCUGAGCCGCGACGCCGGCCGCCGGCCCGGAGGGACCGUUCCCACGGCCGCCGCUCCGCCGGGAUGGAGCCGGCAGCCCCGCGGCGUGAGCCGGGACCGUCCGGGGCGAAGAGGCCCUGGGAGCACCGCGGUGCCCCGGGCACCCGAAAAGCAAACGUGCACCUGUAAAACGGGUCGUUUCCGAGCAGGUUGGGACAUUGCUGACUGUUUUUCUCCUCUUCUUUUCUAAACACGUUGCAAAGGGGUUUCCAAAGCGCGGCGGUGAAUAAAGCGCUCGGCGCCAUGCAGCCCGGUCCAGCCCGUCCGGGUUUGAACCCUCCGGCUCCCUUCGGCUUUCGCCGCCCUCCCCGGAGCGGUGGGUGGGAAACGGGGCCGCACAUCCAUGCAAAUGCUUUAAGGAGCAGUAGUUGUAACUCGUUAGAUGACGAAAGCUCAGCUAGGCCCAUUUCACAGAUGGGCAAAGGGCGGCACAACGGGGCCGGGGCACCGCGGGAGGCACGCGGUAAGAGCAGCCGUGGGGUGGGCAGCGCGGACACGUCCCCCCGCGGGUACCCGCGAGCUGCGGUGCCUCUCUGCAGCCUUAAAUUAACACCUGGGAGCUGGGGAAGCCCCGGAUCGAUGGAGGAGCAGCCUGCCCCGCUCACUGUCCCAGACGCUCUGCGUCCCGCCGCGACGUGCCUGGGCCGAGACGGUGCCGGCGUUUGCAGAUGGGAGCAGUGGGCUUUUUCCGUGUGUUUUUCGUACAAGAAGCACCCAUGAAAGCCGAUUUUAAGCACCGAAAAACAGACUCAGCGAGGAGCAAGACAGCGAGCAUCCCGUGCAAAGCAGCAUCUGCAGCACCGCCGGGACCAGGUCUGAUUGAGUUCAGCGCCCCGGCAGCCCCGGCCGCGUCCCCGGAGAGCGGGGGCGAUGCUCCCGGCGGAGAGGC